UACGGAGGGGGCUAGCGUUGUUCGGAAUUACUGGGCGUAAAGCGCACGUAGGCGGCUUGGUAUGUCGGGUGUGAAAUCCCCGGGCUCAACCUGGGAACUGCAUCCGAAACUGCCUUGCUAGAGUAUGGGAGAGGGAAGUGGAAUUUCCGGUGUAGCGGUGAAAUGCGUAGAUAUCGGAAGGAACAUCAGUGGCGAAGGCGACUUCCUGGACCAAUACUGACGCUCAGGUGCGAAAGCGUGGGAGCAACAGG
rnacentral:rRNA from 1 species